rnacentral:rRNA from 1 species
UGGAAACCGGAGCUAAUACCGGAUAAUAUAUUGAACCGCAUGGUUCAAUAGUGAAAGACGGUUUUGCUGUCACUUAUAGAUGGAUCCGCGCCGCAUUAGCUAGUUGGUAAGGUAACGGCUUACCAAGGCAACGAUGCGUAGCCGACCUGAGAGGGUGAUCGGCCACACUGGAACUGAGACACGGUCCAG